UGAGGAAUAUUGGUCAAUGGUCGAGAGACUGAACCAGCCAAGUCGCGUGAAGGAUGACUGCCCUAUGGGUUGUAAACUUCUUUUACAAGGGAAUAAAAUGAGAUACGUGUAUUUUAUUGCAUGUACCUUGGGAAUAAGCAUCGGCUAACUCCGUGCCAGCAGCCGCGGUAAUACGGAGGAUGCGAGCGUUAUCCGGAUUUAUUGGGUUUAAAGGGUGCGUAGGUGGGCUGUUAAGUCAGCGGUGAAAGUUUGUCGCUUAACGAUAAAAUUGCCGUUGAAACUGGUAGUCUUGAGUAUAGAUGAAGUAGGCGGAAUGCGUGGUGUGCGGUGAAAUGCAUAGAGAUCACGCAGAACUCCGAUUGCGAAGGCAGCUUACUAAGGUAUAACUGACACUGAAGCACGAAAGCGUGGGUAUCAAACAGG
rnacentral:rRNA from 1 species